rnacentral:rRNA from 1 species
CCGAAUUCAGAUAAACUCCGAAUGCCAUGUACUUAUACUCGGGAGUCAGACUGCGAGUGAUAAGAUCCGUAGUCGAAAGGGAAACAGCCCAGACCACCAGUUAAGGUCCCCAAAUAUAUGUUAAGUGGAAAAGGAUGUGGGGUUGCUUAGACAACCAGGAUGUUGGCUUAGAAGCAGCCACCAUUGAAAGAGUGCGUAAUAGCUCACUGGUCGAGUGACCCCGCGCCGAAAAUGUACCGGGGCUAAACAUAUUACCGAAACUGUGGAUGAACCUCUUCGGAGGUUCGUGGUAGGAGAGCGUUCUAAGGGCGGUGAAGUCAGACCGGAAGGACUGGUGGAGCGCUUAGAAGUGAGAAUGCCGGUAUGAGUAGCGAAAGAAGGGUGAGAAUCCCUUCCACCGAAUAUCUAAGGUUUCCUGAGGAAGGCUCGUCCGCUCAGGGUUAGUCGGGACCUAAGCCGAGGCCGAUAGGCGUAGGCGAUGGACAACAGGUAGAGAUUCCUGUACCAGUGCUAAUUGUUUAACCGAUGGGGUGACACAGAAGGAUAGGGAAUCGCACGAAUGGAAAUGUGCGUCCAAGCAGUGAGUGUGAGAAGUAGGCAAAUCCGCUUCUUGCGAAGCAUGAGCUGUGAUGGGGAAGGAAAUUAAGUACGGAAGUUCCUGAUUUCACGCUGUCAAGAAAAGCCUCUAGGAAGAGUAGUACUGCCCGUACCGCAAACCGACACAGGUAGAUGAGGAGAGAAUCCUAAGGUGAGCGAGAGAACUCUCGUUAAGGAACUCGGCAAAAUGACCCCGUAACUUCGGGAGAAGGGGUGCUCUAUUAGGGUGCAAGCCCGAGAGAGCCGCAGUGAAUAGGCCCAGGCGACUGUUUAGCAAAAACACAGGUCUCUGCAAAACCGUAAGGUGACGUAUAGGGGCUGACGCCUGCCCGGUGCUGGAAGGUUAAGAGGAGUGCUUAGCUUCGGCGAAGGUACGAAUUGAAGCCCCAGUAAACGGCGGCCGUAACUAUAACGGUCCUAAGGUAGCGAAAUUCCUUGUCGGGUAAGUUCCGACCCGCACGAAAGGCGCAACGAUCUGGGCACUGUCUCAACGAGAGACUCGGUGAAAUUAUAGUACCUGUGAAGAUGCAGGUUACCCGCGACAGGACGGAAAGACCCCGUGGAGCUUUACUGCAACCUGAUAUGGAAUGUUUGUACCGCUUGUACAGGAUAGGUAGGAGCCGAAGAGACGUGUGCGCUAGCAUACGAGGAGGCAAUGGUGGGAUACUACCCUGGCUGUAUGACCAUUCUAACCCGCCACGCUAAGCGCGUGGGGAGACAGUGUCAGGUGGGCAGUUUGACUGGGGCGGUCGCCUCCUAAAGAGUAACGGAGGCGCCCAAAGGUUCCCUCAGAAUGGAUGGAAAUCAUUCGCAGAGUGUAAAGGCACAAGGGAGCUUGACUGCGAGACUGACAAGUCGAGCAGGGACGAAAGUCGGGCUUAGUGAUCCGGUGGUUCCGCAUGGAAGGGCCAUCGCUCAACGGAUAAAAGCUACCCCGGGGAUAACAGGCUUAUCUCCCCCAAGAGUCCACAUCGACGGGGAGGUUUGGCACCUCGAUGUCGGCUCGUCGCAUCCUGGGGCUGUAGUCGGUCCCAAGGGUUGGGCUGUUCGCCCAUUAAAGCGGCACGCGAGCUGGGUUCAGAACGUCGUGAGACAGUUCGGUCCCUAUCCGUCGCGGGCGCAGGAAAUUUGAGAGGAGCUGUCCUUAGUACGAGAGGACCGGGAUGGACACACCGCUGGUGUACCAGUUGUUCCGCCAGGAGCAUCGCUGGGUAGCUAUGUGUGGCAGGGAUAAACGCUGAAAGCAUCUAAGCGUGAAGCCCCCCUCAAGAUGAGAUUUCCCAUUUCUUCGGAAAGUAAGAUCCCUGAAAGAUGAUCAGGUAGAUAGGUUUGGAGUGGAAGUGUAGCGAUACAUGGAGCGGACAAAUACUAAUCGAUCGAGGACUUAACCAA